UACGUAGGGGGCUAGCGUUGUCCGGAAUCAUUGGGCGUAAAGGGCGCGUAGGUGGUUCUGUAUGUCUACCGUGAAAGCGUACGGCUCAACCGUAUUUUGUCGGUAGAAACUGCAGGACUUGAGGCUGGGAGGGGCUGGUGGAAUUCCCUGUGUAGCGGUGAAAUGCGUAGAGAUGGGGGAGAACACUCGUGGCGAAGGCGGCCAGCUAGACCAGUUCUGACACUGAGGCGCGACAGCGUGGGGAGCAAACAGG
rnacentral:rRNA from 1 species